GGGUUGUGAGGUUAAGCGACUAAGCGUACACGGUGGAUGCCCUGGCAGUCAGAGGCGAUGAAGGACGUGCUAAUCUGCGAUAAGCGUCGGUAAGGUGAUAUGAACCGUUAUAACCGGCGAUUUCCGAAUGGGGAAACCCAGUGUGAUUCGUCACACUAUCAUUAACUGAAUCCAUAGGUUAAUGAGGCGAACCGGGGGAACUGAAACAUCUAAGUACCCCGAGGAAAAGAAAUCAACCGAGAUUCCCCCAGUAGCGGCGAGCGAACGGGGAGCAGCCCAGAGCCUGAAUCAGUAUGUGUGUUAGUGGAAGCGUCUGGAAAGGCGCGCGAUACAGGGUGACAGCCCCGUACACAAAAAUGCACAUGCUGUGAGCUCGAUGAGUAGGGCGGGACACGUGGUAUCCUGUCUGAAUAUGGGGGACCAUCCUCCAAGGCUAAAUACUCCUGACUGACCGAUAGUGAACCAGUACCGUGAGGGAAAGGCGAAAAGAACCCCGGCGAGGGGAGUGAAAAAGAACCUGAAACCGUGUACGUACAAGCAGUGGGAGCACAGAGCAAUCUGUGUGACUGCGUACCUUUUGUAUAAUGGGUCAGCGACUUAUAUUCUGUAGCAAGGUUAACCGAAUAGGGGAGCCGAAGGGAAACCGAGUCUUAACUGGGCGUUAAGUUGCAGGGUAUAGACCCGAAACCCGGUGAUCUAGCCAUGGGCAGGUUGAAGGUUGGGUAACACUAACUGGAGGACCGAACCGACUAAUGUUGAAAAAUUAGCGGAUGACUUGUGGCUGGGGGUGAAAGGCCAAUCAAACCGGGAGAUAGCUGGUUCUCCCCGAAAGCUAUUUAGGUAGCGCCUCGUGAAUUCAUCUCCGGGGGUAGAGCACUGUUUCGGCAAGGGGGUCAUCCCGACUUACCAACCCGAUGCAAACUGCGAAUACCGGAGAAUGUUAUCACGGGAGACACACGGCGGGUGCUAACGUCCGUCGUGAAGAGGGAAACAACCCAGACCGCCAGCUAAGGUCCCAAAGUCAUGGUUAAGUGGGAAACGAUGUGGGAAGGCCCAGACAGCCAGGAUGUUGGCUUAGAAGCAGCCAUCAUUUAAAGAAAGCGUAAUAGCUCACUGGUCGAGUCGGCCUGCGCGGAAGAUGUAACGGGGCUAAACCAUGCACCGAAGCUGCGGCAGCGACGCUUAUGCGUUGUUGGGUAGGGGAGCGUUCUGUAAGCCUGUGAAGGUGUGCUGUGAGGCAUGCUGGAGGUAUCAGAAGUGCGAAUGCUGACAUAAGUAACGAUAAAGCGGGUGAAAAGCCCGCUCGCCGGAAGACCAAGGGUUCCUGUCCAACGUUAAUCGGGGCAGGGUGAGUCGACCCCUAAGGCGAGGCCGAAAGGCGUAGUCGAUGGGAAACAGGUUAAUAUUCCUGUACUUGGUGUUACUGCGAAGGGGGGACGGAGAAGGCUAUGUUGGCCGGGCGACGGUUGUCCCGGUUUAAGCGUGUAGGCUGGUUUUCCAGGCAAAUCCGGAAAAUCAAGGCUGAGGCGUGAUGACGAGGCACUACGGUGCUGAAGCAACAAAUGCCCUGCUUCCAGGAAAAGCCUCUAAGCAUCAGGUAACAUCAAAUCGUACCCCAAACCGACACAGGUGGUCAGGUAGAGAAUACCAAGGCGCUUGAGAGAACUCGGGUGAAGGAACUAGGCAAAAUGGUGCCGUAACUUCGGGAGAAGGCACGCUGAUAUGUAGGUGAAGUCCCUCGCGGAUGGAGCUGAAAUCAGUCGAAGAUACCAGCUGGCUGCAACUGUUUAUUAAAAACACAGCACUGUGCAAACACGAAAGUGGACGUAUACGGUGUGACGCCUGCCCGGUGCCGGAAGGUUAAUUGAUGGGGUCAGCGCAAGCGAAGCUCUUGAUCGAAGCCCCGGUAAACGGCGGCCGUAACUAUAACGGUCCUAAGGUAGCGAAAUUCCUUGUCGGGUAAGUUCCGACCUGCACGAAUGGCGUAAUGAUGGCCAGGCUGUCUCCACCCGAGACUCAGUGAAAUUGAACUCGCUGUGAAGAUGCAGUGUACCCGCGGCAAGACGGAAAGACCCCGUGAACCUUUACUAUAGCUUGACACUGAACAUUGAGCCUUGAUGUGUAGGAUAGGUGGGAGGCUUGGAAGUGUGGACGCCAGUCUGCAUGGAGCCGACCUUGAAAUACCACCCUUUAAUGUUUGAUGUUCUAACGUUGACCCGUAAUCCGGGUUGCGGACAGUGUCUGGUGGGUAGUUUGACUGGGGCGGUCUCCUCCUAAAGAGUAACGGAGGAGCACGAAGGUUGGCUAAUCCUGGUCGGACAUCAGGAGGUUAGUGCAAUGGCAUAAGCCAGCUUGACUGCGAGCGUGACGGCGCGAGCAGGUGCGAAAGCAGGUCAUAGUGAUCCGGUGGUUCUGAAUGGAAGGGCCAUCGCUCAACGGAUAAAAGGUACUCCGGGGAUAACAGGCUGAUACCGCCCAAGAGUUCAUAUCGACGGCGGUGUUUGGCACCUCGAUGUCGGCUCAUCACAUCCUGGGGCUGAAGUAGGUCCCAAGGGUAUGGCUGUUCGCCAUUUAAAGUGGUACGCGAGCUGGGUUUAGAACGUCGUGAGACAGUUCGGUCCCUAUCUGCCGUGGGCGCUGGAGAACUGAGGGGGGCUGCUCCUAGUACGAGAGGACCGGAGUGGACGCAUCACUGGUGUUCGGGUUGUCAUGCCAAUGGCACUGCCCGGUAGCUAAAUGCGGAAGAGAUAAGUGCUGAAAGCAUCUAAGCACGAAACUUGCCCCGAGAUGAGUUCUCCCUGACUCCUUGAGAGUCCUGAAGGAACGUUGAAGACGACGACGUUGAUAGGCCGGGUGUGUAAGCGCAGCGAUGCGUUGAGCUAACCGGUACUAAUGAACCGUGAGGCUUAACCUUACAACGCCGAAGGUGUUU
rnacentral:rRNA from 1 species